CAGUCGCCACGGUAAUACGAAGGGUGCAAGCGUUAAUCGGAAUUACUGGGCGUAAAGCGUGCGUAGGCGGUUUGUUAAGUCUGCUGUGAAAUCCCCGGGCUCAACCUGGGAAUGGCAGUGGAUACUGGCAAGCUAGAGUGUGUCAGAGGAUGGUGGAAUUCCCGGUGUAGCGGUGAAAUGCGUAGAGAUCUGGAGGAAUACCGAUGGCGAAGGCAGCCAUCUGGCCUAAUACUGACGCUGAGGUACGAAAGCAUGGGGAGCAAACAGGAUUAGAUACCCGCGUAGUCCCUGUCUCUUAUAC
rnacentral:rRNA from 1 species